AUGAGGAGCAAGCGGCUGUGCCUGUGCGCUGCCGUCUGCUGGCUCCUCCUCGUACCACUCUUGGGCCCGUUCUCCGCGGCCGGGCGAUACGAUUCCAUCUUCAGCUUCGGCGGCUCCUCCUCCGACACCGGCAACAACCUCGUCGUCUUCCCCUCCAGCGCCCGCGCCGACUACGUCCUGCGCCCGCCCUACGGCUCCACCUUCUUCGGCCGCCCCACCGGCCGCUGCUCCGACGGCCGCCUCGUCGUCGAUUUCAUCGCGCAACACCUGGGCCUGCCGUUCGUCCCGCCGUCGCUGGCGCACAACGGAAGCUUCCGCCAUGGCGCCAACUUCGCCGUCAGCGGCUCCACCGCUCUCGACGCCGCUUUCUUCCGCCGCCUGCUUCCCCACACCAGGAAGCCUCUCAACACCAGCCUGGGCGUGCAGCUGCGGUGGUUCGAGUCUCUCAAGCCUUCGCUCUGCGGCACAACCCAAGAGUGCGAAACGUUCUUCAGCAGAUCGCUCUUCGUCGUGGGGGAAUUCGGGACCAAUGAUUACGGCAUCUUCGUCGAGAACGGCGCGGCAGGGAUGGCGCUAGUUCCAGAUGUCGUCGGUGCCAUCUCCAUGGCCGUCGAGAGGCUCAUCAAGCACGGGGCGACGAGUUUAGUGGUGCCUGGGGUGAUCCCGUUGGGAUGCGUCCCCAAGAUCCUCACCGGCGACUAUUGCCUCCAAGAUUACAACAAGCUAGCGACGCACCACAACUUGCUGCUGCAGGAGGCCCUGGACAAGCUCCGGGUCAGGCACCCCGGCACCACCAUCGUCUAUGCCGACCAAUUCGGCCCCGUCAUGGACAUGAUGGAGUCGCCUGCCAAGUUCGGUCUUGAAGAGGACGCUCUUCUUACCCCGUGUUGUGGAGGGCCCGGCACGCUUCUCUGUGGUGACGACGGUGGAAACCUAUGCCAGAACCCGUCGUCUCGCCUUUUCUGGGACGGUGUCCACCUCACGGAGGCAGCUUACCACUACAUGGCUCACCUCUUGCUUCUCAGCAUAGACGACACCACUGUAAGAGGGGCCAGCUACAGUUUGUAA
rnacentral:rRNA from 1 species